ACCCUCCGGUUCCCUUUCCCAUCGUUUCUGAACACCAGUCUUGGUGGUUGUAAGGGGAGUAAAAGUAGUACUAAGGCUGGCCUCAGAGUGCUUAUAGUCUGCUAUAUAGUGUGUGGGCUAGUUUCAAAUAGGG
ensembl:snoRNA